rfam:Vibrio sp. J237 Contig_21, whole genome shotgun sequence.
UUGCGCAAGCAGGCUUUAUUUGAGCAAUAUUCGCAAUCAUCUGCCGCACGCCUGCACGUAUUAUUUACCUCAGUUUCAAGGCCCGGACAGCAUGUCCACCCCGGCUCACCCAAUCAGGUGAGCGGUAGCCGCCGAUCCCACCGGGUCGUUACGGCAGCCGGGUCCGCACUGCCCAACCAGGCGGGCGAGGAAAAGGCACCAAAACUGCCAAUACAGGACAACAUUUCCCGAGGGGAGGCCGUAAGGUCUCCCU